rnacentral:rRNA from 1 species
CGGAUAAGUCUUUACGGAGAAAGCUUUAUGCACCAUUGGAUGAGCCUGCAAUUGAUUAGUUUGUUGGUGGGGUAAUGGCCUACCAAGACUGUGAUCAAUAGCUGAUUUGAGAGGAUGAUCAGCCACAUUGGGACUGAGACACGGCCCAAACUCCUACGGGAGGCAGCAGUGGGGAAUCUUGCACAAUGGAGGAAACUCUGAUGCAGCGAU